rnacentral:rRNA from 1 species
UACGUAGGGUGCGAGCGUUGUCCGGAAUUACUGGGCGUAAAGAGCUUGUAGGUGGUUUGUCGCGUUGUUCGUGAAAUCUCACGGCUUAACUGUGAGCGUGCGGGCGAUACGGGCAGACUAGAGUACUGCAGGGGAGACUGGAAUUCCUGGUGUAGCGGUGGAAUGCGCAGAUAUCAGGAGGAACACCGGUGGCGAAGGCGGGUCUCUGGGACGGUACUGACGCUGGAGACGCGAAAGCGUGGGGAGCGAACAGG